AUAAGGGCGCACGGUGGAUGCCUUGGCACUAGGAGCCGAUGAAGGACGGGACUAACACCGAUAUGCUUUGGGGAGCUGUACGUAAGCUAUGAUCCAGAGAUUUCCGAAUGGGGGAACCCAGCAUCUUUUAUAGGAUGUUACGUUUGCGUGAAUACAUAGCGCAUUCGAGGUAGACGCAGAGAACUGAAACAUCUAAGUACCUGCAGGAAGAGAAAGAAAAUUCGAUUCCCUGAGUAGCGGCGAGCGAAACGGGAAAAGCCCAAACCAAUGAGCUUGCUCAUUGGGGUUGUAGGACUCCAAUAUGGUAGUUCUUUCAGAUAGUCGAAUGACUUGGAAAAGUCAGUCAAAGAGGGUAAAAACCCCGUAGAUGAAAUUUGGAAGGCACCUAGGAGGAUCCUGAGUACGGCGGAACACGAGGAAUUCCGUCGGAAUCCGGGAGGACCAUCUCCCAAGGCUAAAUACUCCCUAGUGACCGAUAGUGAACCAGUACCGUGAGGGAAAGGUGAAAAGCACCCCGGAAGGGGAGUGAAAUAGAACCUGAAACCGUGUGCCUACAACAAGUCAAAGCCCGUUAAUGGGUGAUGGCGUGCCUUUUGUAGAAUGAACCGGCGAGUUACGAUUGCAUGCGAGGUUAAGUUGAAGAGACGGAGCCGCAGCGAAAGCGAGUCUGAAUAGGGCGUUUGAGUAUGUAGUCGUAGACCCGAAACCAUGUGAUCUACCCAUGUCCAGGUUGAAGGUGCGGUAAAACGCACUGGAGGACCGAACCCACGUACGUUGAAAAGUGCGGGGAUGAGGUGUGGGUAGCGGAGAAAUUCCAAACGAACUUGGAGAUAGCUGGUUCUCUCCGAAAUAGCUUUAGGGCUAGCCUCGGAAUUGAGAAUGAUGGAGGUAGAGCACUGUUUGGACUAGGGGCCCAUCUCGGGUUACCGAAUUCAGAUAAACUCCGAAUGCCAUUCAUUCAUAUCCGGGAGUCAGACUGUGAGUGAUAAGAUCCAUAGUCGAAAGGGAAACAGCCCAGACCACCAGCUAAGGUCCCAAAAUAUAUGUUAAGUGGAAAAGGAUGUGGGGUUGCACAGACAACUAGGAUGUUGGCUUAGAAGCAGCCACCAUUUAAAGAGUGCGUAAUAGCUCACUAGUCGAGUGACCCUGCGCCGAAAAUGUACCGGGGCUAAACAUAUUACCGAAGCUGUGGAGUACACCUUUAGGUGUAUUGGUAGGAGAGCGUUCUAAGGGCGUUGAAGGCAGAUCGUGAGGACUGCUGGAGCGCUUAGAAGUGAGAAUGCCGGUAUGAG
rnacentral:rRNA from 1 species